rnacentral:rRNA from 1 species
AAUGAACGUUGGCGGCGUGGAUUAGGCAUGCAAGUCGAGCGCGAAGGGUUGAAUGCUUGCAUUGGACCCUGAAAGGGGCGAAAGGGAGAGUAACGCGUAGGAUACCUGCCCUCAGACCCGGGAUAGCGGCGGGAAACUGCCGGUAAUACCGGAUAAUGUCUCCGGACCAAAGGUGUGACUCCGUCUGAGGAUGGUCCUGCGUCCUAUUAGUUAGUUGGUGAGGUAAUGGCUCACCAAGACGAUGAUGGGUAGCGGGCGUGAGAGCGUGGCCCGUCUCACUGGGACUGAGACACUGCCCAGACACCUACGGGAGGCAG